rnacentral:rRNA from 1 species
UAGGGAAUCUUCGGCAAUGGGGGAAACCCUGACCGAGCAACGCCGCGUGAGUGAAGAAGGUUUUCGGAUCGUAAAGCUCUGUUGUUAAGGAAGAACGAGUGUGAGAAUGGAAAGUUCAUACUGUGACGGUACUUAACCAGAAAGGGACGGCUAACUACGUGCCAGCAGCCGCGGUAAUACGUAGGUCCCGAGCGUUGUCCGGAUUUAUUGGGCGUAAAGCGAGCGCAGGCGGUUAGAUAAGUCUGAAGUUAAAGGCAGUGGCUCAACCAUUGUAGGCUUUGGAAACUGUUUAACUUGAGUGCAGAAGGGGAGAGUGGAAUUCCAUGUGUAGCGGUGAAAUGCGUAGAUAUAUGGAGGAACACCGGUGGCGAAAGCGGCUCUCUGGUCUGUAACUGACGCUGAGGCUCGAAAGCGUGGGGAGCGAACAGG